rnacentral:misc_RNA from 1 species
GAAAUGCGAUAAGUAAUGUGAAUUGCAGAAUUCCGUGAAUCAUCGAAUCUUUGAACGCACAUUGCGCCCUCUGGUAUUCCGGGGGGCAUGCCUGUCCGAGCGUCAUUGUGAACCCCUCAAGCACGGCUUGUGUGAUGGGCCCUCCCACGUCUUGGUCGUCAAGACGGGCCCGAAAAGCAGUGGCGGCUUCGCGGUUAUCCGAUCAGCCAGAGCGUAUGGGGACUUUCUCUCUGUCACACGCCCGCGGCGCGGACCGACGCCUGUCGACCUUUAUUCAUCUUUUUCUCGGUUGACCUCGGAUCAGGUAGGGAUACCCGCUGAACUUAAGC